ACUCAAAGGAAUUGACGGGGGCCCGCACAAGCGGUGGAGCAUGUGGUUCAAUUCGACGCAACGCGAAGAACCUUACCUGGGUUAGACAACGGUGGACCGCCCUAGAAAUAGGGUUUUCCCUUCGGGGACUGCCGGUUCAGGUGCUGCAUGGCUGUCGUCAGCUCGUGCCGUGAGGUGUUGGGUUAAGUCCCGCAACGAGCGCAACCCUUGCCCUUAGUUGCUACCAUUAAGUUGAGCACUCUAGGGGGACUGCCGGCGUUAAGCCGGAGGAAGGCGGGGACGACGUCAAGUCAUCAUGGCCCUUAUAUCCAGGGCUACACACGUGCUACAAUGGGCGGUACAAAGGGUUGCAAACCCGCGAGGGGGAGCCAAUCCCAAAAAGCCGCUCUCAGUUCGGAUUGGAGUCUGCAACUCGACUCCAUGAAGGCGGAAUCGCUAGUAAUCGCGGAUCAGCACGCCGCGGUGAAUACGUUCCCGGGCCUUGUACACACCGCCCGU
rnacentral:rRNA from 1 species